rnacentral:rRNA from 1 species
UACAGAGGGUGCGAGCGUUAAUCGGAGUUACUGGGCGUAAAGGGCGCGUAGGUGGUUUAGUAAGUGAGAUGUGAAAUCCCUGGGCUUAACCUAGGAACUGCAUCUUAUACUGUUAGACUUGAGUACUGUAGAGGGUAGUGGAAUUUCCGGUGUAGCGGUGAAAUGCGUAGAGAUCGGAAGGAACACCAGUGGCGAAGGCGGGUCUCUGGGCCGUAACUGACGCUGAGGAGCGAAAGCAUGGGGAGCGAACAGG